rnacentral:miRNA from 1 species
AACCUCAUCGACUGGAAGGAAUCCCUUCUGGUUGAUGAGGUUGUUACACCUCAUCGACCGGAAGGAAUCCUUUCUGGUUGAUGAGGUU